CCUACGGGGUGCAGCAGUGGGGAAUAUUGGACAAUGGGCGAAAGCCUGAUCCAGCCAUGCCGCGUGUGUGAAGAAGACCUUCGGGUUGUAAAGCACUUUCAGUGGGGAAGAAAGCCUUGGGGCUAAUACCCUCGAGGAAGGACAUCACCCACAGAAGAAGCACCGGCUAACUCCGUGCCAGCAGCCGCGGUAAUACGGAGGGUGCGAGCGUUAAUCGGAAUUACUGGGCGUAAAGCGCGCGUAGGCGGUCUGAUAAGCCGGUUGUGAAAGCCCCGGGCUCAACCUGGGAACGGCAUCCGGAACUGUCAGGCUAGAGUGCAGGAGAGGAAGGUAGAAUUCCCGGUGUAGCGGUGAAAUGCGUAGAGAUCGGGAGGAAUACCAGUGGCGAAGGCGGCCUUCUGGACUGACACUGACGCUGAGGUGCGAAAGCGUGGGUAGCAAACAGGAUUAGAUACCCCUGUAGUC
rnacentral:rRNA from 1 species